rnacentral:lncRNA from 1 species
UUUUAAAACAAUUGUUGUGUCGCACGGCCCCUGGUGACAUACUAAGACACCAGUGCGGUUGAGCUCUCUAUUCAUGCUACUGGGUGGAGCUGGGUCUCUUCCAUGCCUCUUUGUUACCACCAAUCCGGCGUGGCCAUGCCGGUCAUGUGACCCGUGCCUCGCUGACCAAUAGCCCUU